rnacentral:misc_RNA from 1 species
UUUCAAUACUUUCAUUGUUUAGUUCUUUACUUAAAUGAUGUGGCCAUGGGCCUGAAGAUUCAUAAUCUUAACAUCAGCUAAUUUCAUUAUACAAUUUGCAAUUGCAAAUUGUAUAAUAGAGAUAAAGUUCUUUGACAUAUUGGAAAUAAAAAGUUGUAACGAGAGUAAAAAGAGAGUGCAGUGAUGCACGUAAAAUAUAUCUAUAAGAUUUUUAAAGCAAAUAAGGGCGUAUGGUGGAUGCCUAGGGUCUGAGAGGCGAAGA